GUCAUGUAGUGUGGAAGCAGGUCCUUUUGCCCAGCUGAUCCCUGCCAGCCACGCCACGAUUCCUCAUUUGCCUGUGUUUGGCCCAUUUUGCAACUGAAAAAUAAUCCUUUCUUCUGAAGAAGAUCCAUCUUUCAAGGGUAUUCAUGUAUGGGUGAAUAACAAUUAAACUUGAACUUGAACUGACGCAGAAAGCAUCAGAGGCAUCGGCAGCAGCGGAAGGCAAGUGGAGCACCAGCAAACGCAGUGAGUUCUUUCUCCUUGCGUGGUGGUUCUUCUUGAAAACAGUAGCCAGUGCGCAGGUGGGGGAAGCAUCAGCAGCUUCGGCAACAGCGGAACAACAGUGGAAGGCAAGCGGAGCACCACCAAACGCACCUUAGAAGAGAGACGGGGUCUAGCGGAGUGGCCAUUGUUGGAGCAACCAUCAAUGGAGUGGGGGCUAGAGUCAGAGUGGGAAUUUAGAGGCUUUGACUCAAGAGGCUUCGUCGAGAAGAGGUUGAGGCCAAACAAACAGAGGCAGCUAUUGCACAAAUGAAGUAAGGAUACGCUGAGGAUUUUACAAGAUUAUUUCACCAAGUUCACUUUCUAUUGCAAGGAAAUUCUAGAUUAAAGAGAGGAUGUAAAGCAGCUGUCAACUUCCUCUUUGCUGGAACUCUUCUACUUUGUUUUUGCACAUUGUUUUCAUUGUUUAUUUCUAAAUGAUAAAGCAACUUAAUACUGCAUAACUAAACUGGGCUUAAAGGAAAGCAAAAAAACUAAAAUAAAUUGUCUCACUGCUGGAACAUGAAGUUGCAGUAAGUGUUUUUCAGUCAGAUUUGGAGUCAGCAUGAAAUUAAUGCAACAAACUUGCGAUCAUAAUAUUUAAAAAUGUGGAUUUACAAUCAUUAAUUUAACUGUUUCAUAAGGAAAAUAAUGAACUAGAAUAAUAGCUCCAUAAAAUGAAAGUGCAGCAUAAAUGAUACAAAUUAUCAACAUUAUAAUUGUCUGGGACCUCCAUAUAUUGUGCUAUACUGCUUAAUUGUGGCAUUGCAAAUUCAUUAAUCAAGUUCAAAUUCAAGUUUAAAAUCAUUCAUCCAUACACACGAUGGCUGGUUCUUUGCUUACAAAUAUCAGGAGGGAAAUAACCAUCACUGUAGGACUUUUCUUCCUGCCUGUGCCGCGUAGGUUUAUAGCGAGGAUUGGUGCACGCGGACCGAUU